GAUGAAGAACGUAGCGAAAUGCGAUAAGUAGUGUGAAUUGCAGACUUUAGUGAAUCAUCGAAUCUUUGAACGCACAUUGCGGCCAUAGGUAUUCCUUUGGCCAUGCCUGUUCGAGCGUCAUUUACACCCUCAAGCCUAGCUUGGUGUUGGGCGUCUGUCCCGCCGUUUUCGCGCGCGGACUCGCCUCAAAGUCAUUGGCGGCGGUCGUGCCGGCCCCCUCGCGCAGCACAUUUGCGCUUCUCGGAGGCCCGGCGGAUCCGCGCUCCAGCAAGACCUUUCACGACUUGACCUCGGAUCAGGUAGGGAUACCCGCUGAACUUAAGCAUAUCAAUAAGCGGAGGA
rnacentral:misc_RNA from 1 species